UUAAUUGGUGUUUAUAAUGAAGAUGUUUUUGCUUUGGAGAAAAAUGUGCAUUUAGCUUCUAAUGGUCUGAUUGAAUGAGUAUUAAUUUCAGAGUUGAAGAGACAAAGACAAAGCUGAGAGGAAGAGAAAAGCUGAAAUUUCCAGGCUAUGAAGGGAAAAGAUCAUGGCCCAGAUGUCUGAGAUGCAGCGGCACUUUAUCGAUGAGAACAAAGAGCUCUUUCAGCAGACACUAGAGCUGGAUGGCCCUUCCUCAGCUGUUCUUGACAGCCGCCCUGUGGUUUCAGGUACGACCUUUCCAGCCCUGGGCCCAGCACAAACGCAGGUCCCUGAACACAGACAGUUUGUCACCUGUAUAUUAUGUCAACGGGAGCAAGAAGUUAAAGUGGAAAGUAAAGGCAUGGUCUUGGCAGCAUUUGUCCAGAGAUCAACUGUACUAUCAAAAAACAAGUGAAUUCAUCCAGGAUCCAGAAAAAUAGGAUCCAUUGUUCAUGCACCCUGAUCUGCCUUUCGGGACACACACUGGUAGCUAUGGGCACCUUAUGCAUGCCCAUUGUUGGCAAAGGUAUUUUGAUUCUAUUCAAACUAAAGAGCAGAGAAGGCAACAAAGAUUAUGCUUACAUACGAGCUAUGAUGUAGAGAAUGGAGAGUUCCUCUGCCUGCUGUGUGAAUGCUUGAGCAAUACUGUUAUUCCUCUGCUGCUUCCUCCAAGAAAUAUUUUUAGCAGCAGGUUAAAUUUUUCAGACCAACCAAAUCUGACCCAGUGGAUUAGAACAAUAUCUCAGCAGAUAAAAGCAUUGCAGAGUCUUAGGAAAGAAGAAAAUGCUUCCAUUCCUGCCUCUUCAGAGAAUUCAAAGAACGUGGAAGAAGUACAGCUCCUUGAAGGUUUCAGGCCUGAUUUUCAUCCUCAGAACCCUUAUUCUGAGAGCAUUAAGGAAAUUCUGACAACAUUUGGAACUGCUUCCUACAAGGUGGGACUAAAAGUUCACCCCAAUGAAGAGGAUCCCCGUGUGCCCAUAAUGUGUUGGAGCAGCUGUGCGUACACCAUCCAGAGCAUGGGUAAGAGGUUUACAGCUAUUUCUCUUUAAGUCACCAGCAUACAUUGAUGUGAAUUGUGUGUAGAAUCCUGCUUUUAAGUGAGAUCCUUAAAGUGCACAACAAUAUGAAGAAAUAAAAAGCCUUAAAAUCAAGAAAUGUAGUUCAUUGAC
rnacentral:lncRNA from 1 species